UACGAAGGGGGCUAGCGUUGCUCGGAAUUACUGGGCGUAAAGGGAGCGUAGGCGGACUGUUUAGUCAGAGGUGAAAGCCCAGGGCUCAACCUUGGAAUUGCCUUUGAUACUGGCAGUCUUGAGUACGGAAGAGGUAUGUGGAACUCCGAGUGUAGAGGUGAAAUUCGUAGAUAUUCGGAAGAACACCAGUGGCGAAGGCGACAUACUGGUCCGUUACUGACGCUGGGGCUCGAAAGCGUGGGGAGCAAACAGG
rnacentral:rRNA from 1 species